rnacentral:misc_RNA from 1 species
CGUCAUUUCAACCCCUAAGCAUAGCUUAUUGUUGGGAGACUGCGGUAAAACGCAGCUCCUCAAAGUCAGUGGCGGAGAGACAGUGUCCUCUGAGCGUAGUAUUAUUUUCUCGCUUUUGUCAGGUGCUGCCCCCCUUGCCAUAAAACACCCAAUUUCUAAUGGUUGACCUCGGAUCAGGUAGGAAUACCCGCUGAACUUAA